GUAGAGAAGCAUGUGGUGAUGCCUUUGCCUUAGGGCUCUUAGCACUACUCUUCGAACCACUCUCUUUUAUAUCCUAUCGCUUUCUGCAUCUCAUCUUCUUCAAUGGCGAUGGAAUCCUCGUAGCGGGUGAGAUUUUUGGUGUUGUGUUCUCUCGUGAGUCUGUCUGGUCAGCUUUGUGAUUUAGCACAAAGCCCUAACUUUUGCGGGGAAUUGGGGAGGUGGUGGAACGAUAGAGGAUUUUGCUGUCGAAUGCGUGCAAGUGUUGGGGGUUUGGUGUGAUUCGGAUUAGGAUUCGGGCGGGAUUUAUUGGGGUAUGGUGGCUGCUGCUAUGGGGAGAGUAGAGCGGCGUGGGAGGAAACGCAGAAGGAAUGAUGUGCAGAGUGUGGAGGCGGAUCAGGAUGGGAAGAAACGGAUGGUGGGUACGAGGUCCAAGGUGCUGGUAGGGAGAUAUGUUAGUAAGGAGUUUGAGGGCAGUGGGACGUUUCUGGGGAAGAUAAUGAGUUAUGAUUCUGGGUUGUAUAGGGUGAAUUAUGAAGAUGGGGAUUGCGAAGACUUGGAUAGCAGUGAAUUAAAGGGGGUUUUGAUAGAAGAAGAUGCAUUGGAUCGUGAUUGGUUGGAGAGGAAGAAGAAUUUAGAUAAGUUGGUAUCCAGCAAAGAGGUAACCACAACUGAUUGCCAUGUAGAGAAUGCAAUUCUUCCAGCUGAUGUAGCUGUUCAGACUACAGCACCCCCGUGGAGCAACUUAGGAAGUGCUGAUCCUUAUAAAGUUGAAGCUGGGCAAGUAGAUGAUAAUGCCGAAUCUAUGAGUGAUUUAUCUGAAGAAGAUGAGGUGUUGGAUUUGAUUUCAAAUGUAGAGACACCUGUUAUCCCACCCCCAGAACUCCCUCCUUCUUCAGGGAAUAUUGGUGUUCCAGAGGAGUUUGUGUCAUAUCUUUUCUCAGUAUAUAGCUUUUUGAGGUCAUUUAGUAUCCAGUUAUUCUUGAGUCCCUUUGCACUGGAUGAUUUUGUGGGCUCACUGAACUGUCCUAGUCCAAAUACAUUACUUGAUUCUGUUCAUGUUGCUUUAAUGAGGGUUUUGAGGCGUCAUAUUGAAAAAUUGUCAUUGGAUGGUUCUGGGCGCGCAUCAAAAUGUUUAAGGAACCUGGACUGGAGCUUGCUUGAUUCAAUGACUUGGCCAAUUUAUCUGGUUGACUAUCUAAUGAUUAUGGGAUACAUAAACGGACCUGUUUGGAAAGGAUUUAGUGCUCAUGUUUUAGAGAGGGAAUAUUAUUCUCUUUCUGUUGGGCAGAAGCUGAUGGUUUUGCAGAUCUUGUGUGAUGAUGUCUUAGAUUCUGAAGAAGUAAGAGCAGAAAUGGACAUACGUGAAGAAUCAGAGUUUGGAAUGGAUUCAGAUGGGACUGCUGUUGCCCCCAUGAGUGGACCAAGAAGGGUUCAUCCUAGGUACUCUAAAACUUCUGCUUUUAAGGAGCAAGAGAGUAUGGAGAUUAUUGCAAAAGAUCAUGAUAUGAGGUCAUCUCAUAAUGCUAGUUCUUUGAGUUCAAAAGUUAGUUCAACAGAUGCUGGCGCUGAUGUGGAUCAUGAUGGUAAUGGUGAUGAAUGUCGUCUCUGUGGCAUGGAAGGAACUUUGCUUUGCUGUGAUGGAUGUCCAUCAUCUUACCAUCCGAGGUGCAUAGGGGUUUGCAAAAUGUAUAUACCAGAUGGAAACUGGUACUGCCCUGAAUGCCGAAUUAAUGAACUGAGACCAACACCAAUAAGGGGAACAUCUUUAAAAGGAGCAGAAUUGUUUGGUGUUGAUUCUCAUGGACAAAUCUUCAUGGGUAGUUGUGAUCAUUUACUUGUGUUAAAGGAUUCAGCUAACUCAGAGUCUUGCUUCAGAUACUACAAUGAAAAUGAUAUUUCUAGAGUACUCCAAGCACUUAAUACAAAUGUGCAACAUAAUGCCUUGUAUUCAGAAAUAUGCAAGGGGAUUAGAGAGUUCUGGGGAAUUCCAUUCAAUGUCUUGCCUCAUACCAGAGUAACUGAAAUUGGUGCAGAAAUAACAAACAGAAUAGAAGAUAGUGGCUGCUCUGUACCAUCACUCGCUAAGCUUGCCUGUUGUGCAUCUGAGAUAAGUUUAGAAAAUACACAUUUUCAUAAGUAUCCAAAGGAAUUGAUGCUGAAUGAGGCUUCAGGUAGAAUAGUCCAUCCUGAUAAUGGCAAUUUCACUGUAAGACAGGCUAGUGAGCAUAUGAAUUCUGUGCCACUUAAGCAGAUUCCAGGAAGACCUACUGUAUGUGCUGGCUCAGUUAGCCAGCAGGUUGAUUUUCCUAGGCAGAUUCAGAAAGACAACACAGUUUUGAUAGAAACUGCUUCAUGUACCUCAAGAAACAGUAGCAACUGCACAGGAUAUGAUAGUGUUCAUGGUCUUGGAGCAGUGCCUUCUGAAAGAAGUUUUAAAAAUCCUACUGAAGGUGGGUUAUACACUGGCACUUCCUUCAAAGCCCAGGGAUAUGUAAAUAAUUAUCUACAUGGAGAUUUUGCUGCAUCUGCUGCUGCUAAUCUGGCAAUACUUUCUUCUGAAGAGAACCAGUGUUCUGAGUCUCUUUCUUUAGAGAAGCGCCGGAAACUUAUGUCUGUUGAUAUUCAACUUCAAACAAAAGCUUUCUCAUCAGCAGCAACACGCUUUUUCUGGCCAAAUAUUGAAAAAAAACUUAUUGAAGUUCCUAGGGAAAGGUGUAGUUGGUGUCUUUCUUGUAAAGCUCCUGUGGUUAGUAAAAAAGCAUGCUUGCUAAAUGCAGCUGCAUCAAAUGCAACUAAAGGGGCCAUGAAGAUACUUGCUACUGUUCGUCCUGCAAAGAGUGGAGAUGGAAAUCUUCCUGGCAUUGCCACAUAUAUAAUAUUGAUGGAGGAGAGUUUAAGGGGUUUAACAGUUGGUCCCUUUCUAAGUGCAGCUUUUAGAAAAAAUUGGCGCAAACUAGCAGAAGAAGCUACAUCUUGCUAUUCUAUAAAGUCUCUUUUACUUGAACUCGAGGAAAACAUACGCACGGUUGCUCUUUCUGCUGACUGGGUCAAGCUUGUUGAUGGUUCAUCUGAAUCUUCUGUCUCCCAGAAUGCAUCUAGUGUUACUGGAUCAACUCAUAAGCGUAAACCAGGGAGGCGUGGUAGAAAGCCUUCUGCUGUUUCUGUUGUCGCUGCUGAUGAAGGCCAGGGUGUGUUAACAGACUACACUUGGUGGAGAGUAGGCAUGCUAUCAAAGUUUAUGUUUCAAAGAGGGACAUUACCUCAAUCUUUGGUGAAUAAAGCAGCGCGUCAAGGCGGUAAAAGAAAGAUACCUGGCAUAUAUUACAGCGAGGGGUCUGAAACUCCAAAAAGAAACAGACGGCUGGUAUGGCGAGCUGCAGUUGAGAUGUGUAAGACUGCAUCACAGCUUGCACUUCAGGUCAGAUACCUUGAUAUGCAUGUAAGGUGGAGUGAUCUUGUUCGUCCUGAACCAAGUCUUCAGGAGGGAAAAGGUCUUGAGACCGAAGCAUCUGCUUUUAGAAAUGCUUUUAUAUGUGAUAAAGCAAUGGUUGACAAUGAAGUAAGAUAUGGUGUUGCGUUUGGAAAUCAGAAACAUCUCUCUUCCCGUGUCAUGAAGAGUGUUAUUGAGAUAGGGCAAAGACAGGAUGGAAAGGAAAAGUAUUGGUUCUCUGAGUCACGUAUUCCUCUGUAUCUAAUCAAAGAGUAUGAAGCUACGUUAGUUAAAAAUCUUCCAUCUUCCAUUGACAACCCCAUGAAUGCAUUUUCUAAGUGGUCAAAAAAAUCUUCAAAGACAUUCCGUGGAGAUAUAUUCUCUUACCUCUCUUGGAAGAGAGAUGGUAAUGAUAAGCAUUCCUGUGCUUCUUGUCAAACAGAUGUACUGUUAAGGAAUGGCAUUAAAUGCAGUAUGUGCGAAGGUCUUUGUCACAAGCAGUGUACAAUCAGUUCAAUGCUUAAAAUAAAUGAAGAUGUUCAAUGCAUAGUCACUUGCAAAAACUGUCACCAAAGCAGUUCUGUUACUCGAUGUGGAAUUAGUAAUGAAUCUCCAACUAGCCCUCUUCUUUUGCAAGGGCAAGAUUUUUCAAAUGUUGAUACAGUCCGCAAAGGGGGAGUGCUUGGCAGCUCUAAUCGGCUUUCAGUGUCAACUGGAGGCAAUGGACGCUCUUCUGGAGUGAAACAAACUAGCUCUGCAAAUCCAAAAGCAAAAACAAAGAGUUGGGGUGUGAUUUGGAAGAAACCGAAUUCAACUGACACUGGUGCUGAUUUUAGAAAGAAAAACAUUCUUAGAAAGGGCGAUCCCAUUGAUGGGCCUGGACCAGAUUGCCAUCUCUGCCGUAAAACAUAUAAUUCUAAUCUGAUUUACAUCCACUGCGAAACAUGCCAAAAUUGGUAUCAUGCAGAUGCUCUUGAACUUGAGGAGUCAAAGAUAUCGAAUGUGGUGGGGUUCAAAUGCUGUAGAUGUCGCAGAAUCAGAAUACCUAUUUGUCCUUACUUAGAUCCAGAUAGCAAAAAACAGUUGACAGAAAAGAGGAUCCGUUCAAGACCUUCAAAGGCUGAUGAUCUUGGAAUGGACUCUGAUUCUGGGAUAAUCUCGGAGAAAUAUCAAGAGGAAGAGCCUUCUACUCCCAUGGUUCACCUAAAGGAGGAAAUUUCUUCUAUCAUGGAUGAUUUCCAUUCUCUUUCAUCGAUGGGGAAAAUUACUAAACAAGAUCCAGAAGCUUUUUGUGAAAACACUGCAUCAUUAUCUGGACGGGGGCCUAAAAAAUUGCCAAUCAGGAGGCAUGUAAAGCAUGAAAACUACUUGGAUUCUUCUUUUGCAAACAAUCCUUCAAAUGAUUAUUCUUCAACAAAUUUUGGGGAAAACACUGGAGAAGUGAUUACUCCAUGUGUUGAUUGGGGUGCCAAACUUCCAGUCAGAAGAAGGCCUAUGACGUCUGAUGAUCCAGACUAUUCCUUUGCUGAUCCUCAAGUUCAAUUAUCCACCAAUCUUGGAGUUGAAUGGAAUACUUCAACAAAUGGCUGUGAAGAUGGUGCGAGUCUUAAUUGUGAUGGUCUCAGCUAUGAGGAUAUGGAAUUUGAACCUCAAACCUAUUUCUCAUUCAACGAGUUGCUUGAAUCUGAUGAUUGUGCACCAUUUGAUGGGGGAUCUGGGAAUGUUACUGAGAAGUGGGAAAAUGCAUCCCAGCUUCCACAUGAUGAAAUGUCUACUAUUCCUAUAGAAUCUGAUGCUCCUGCAGUUGUUCCUUGUAUGAUGUGCUCCCAUACAGAUCCAAGCCCUACUCUUUGUUGUCAGACCUGUGGCAUACAAAUCCACGGUCACUGUUCUCCUUGGGUUGAACAACCAUCUACAGAAAGUGUCUGGAGAUGUGGUAGCUGUCGGGAGUGGAGAUAACAGAACACAUCAAUGCAAAUUAUCUUAAAGAUCUAGAAAAGCCAACACCAUUUUGGAAGCUGGAAGAUCGGUAGAGAAUAUGUGAUUAUACUAACAGGCUUGGAGUAGACACAGAGCACUCUAUUGAAGUAUUGAGAAGAAAAACUUCAAUGGGGCAAGAUUCAUUAGAUGUCUUCCCUGAGGCAUGCAACACAGGUUAAUUCUAAUGCUCGUGAAUUUCUUCAUCAUUUAAUCUCAGAUUUGCCCUCACAAAUUUGUUAUUGAUGGUCCAAUUGUGGUCGGGUUGAUUGAUGGGGAAAGAUCUUUAGAAGUUAUGAUGUCUAAAACCUGAUCAUACAGAUGAGCAAUGUUUUUUUUUGGGAGCUUGUCUGGUAUUUGUGGCUGUAUGAAGCAGACAUUCGUUACUUUCCUUUUUUUUUUUUUUGGGUGGGGAGUGGAGGUGUCGAAGUAGGGUCGGAUGGAGGUUUGGAAACUAUUGCAUACAGAGAGUUCCAUCAUUUUAUGCUUUUCAUUUUUUAAAAUAUUCUGAUGGAAUUUGCUAAAACCGUCAUUGCCAAAAAAAUUGAAUCAAAAAUUCAAAAUACACAAAAGUUUCAUGUAUUUCAACCGUGUGCUAUUGUAUAUGGGUGUUUCUUU